UACGUAGGGCGCAAGCGUUGUCCGGAAUUAUUGGGCGUAAAGAGCUCGUAGGCGGUCUGUCGCGGCGGAUGUGAAAGCCCGGGGCUUAACCCCGGGUCUGCAUUCGAUACGGGCAGACUAGAGUGUGGUAGGGGAGAUCGGAAUUCCUGGUGUAGCGGUGAAAUGCGCAGAUAUCAGGAGGAACACCGGUGGCGAAGGCGGAUCUCUGGGCCAUUACUGACGCUGAGGAGCGAAAGCGUGGGGAGCGAACAGG
rnacentral:rRNA from 1 species